GCAGCCGCGGUAAUACGUAGGUGGCAAGCGUUGUCCGGAUUUACUGGGUGUAAAGGGCGUGUAGCCGGGUUCUUAAGUCAGAUGUGAAAUCCACGGGCUCAACUCGUGAACUGCAUUUGAAACUGAGGAUCUUGAGUAUCGGAGAGGUAAUCGGAAUUCCUUGUGUAGCGGUGAAAUGCGUAGAUAUAAGGAAGAACACCAGUGGCGAAGGCGGAUUACUGGACGACAACUGACGGUGAGGCGCGAAAGCGUGGGGAGCAAACAGGAUUAGAUACCCC
rnacentral:rRNA from 1 species